rnacentral:rRNA from 1 species
UACGGAGGGUGCAAGCGUUAUCCGGAUUCACUGGGUUUAAAGGGUGCGUAGGUGGGCUAGUAAGUCCGUGGGGAAAUCCCCGAGCUUAACUCGGGAACUGCCGUGGAUACUAUUAGUCUUGAAUAUCGUGGAGGUAAGCGGAAUAUGUCAUGUAGCGGUGAAAUGCUUAGAUAUGACAUAGAACACCGAUAGCGGAGGCAGCUUACUACGCGAUUAUUGACACUGAGGCACGAAAGCGUGGGGAUCAAACAGG